rnacentral:rRNA from 1 species
CAGUCGCCACGGUAAUACAGAGGGUGCGAGCGUUAAUCGGAUUUACUGGGCGUAAAGCGUGCGUAGGCGGCUAAUUGAGUCGGAUGUGAAAUCCCCGAGCUUAACUUGGGAAUUGCAUUCGAUACUGGUUAGCUAGAGUGUGGGAGAGGAUGGUAGAAUUCCAGGUGUAGCGGUGAAAUGCGUAGAGAUCUGGAGGAAUACCGAUGGCGAAGGCAGCCAUCUGGCCUAACACUGACGCUGAGGUACGAAAGCAUGGGGAGCAAACAGGAUUAGAUACCCCGGUAGUCCCUGUCUCUUAUAU